rnacentral:rRNA from 1 species
AACGAACGCUGGCGGCAGGCCUCAAACAUGCAAGUCUAGGGGGUGUAGCAAUACAUCACCGGCGGACGGGUGCGUAACGCGUGGGAAUAUACCUAUCGAUUCGGAACAACUGAGGGAAACUUCAGCUAAUACCGAAUACGUCCUAACGGAGAAAGAUUUAUCGUCGAUAGAUUAGCCCGCGUUCGAUUAGCUAGUUGGUGGGGUAACGGCCCACCAAGGCGACGAUCGAUAGCUGUUCUGAGAGGAAGAUCAGCCACACUGGGACUGAGACACGGCCCAAACUCCUACGGGAGGCAGCAGUUGGGAAUCUUGGACAAUGGGGGAAACCCUGAUCCAGCCAUGCCGCGUGAGUGAUGAAGGCCUUCGGGUUGGUUAAAAACUACUUUCGCGCACGACGAUAAUGACGGUAGUGCGAGAAGAAGCUCCGGCUAACUUCGUGCCAGCAGCCG